AAAAAAUAUUUGAACAUCAAGAAAGCAUUUUUAGUGGAACAGCACACCCAGACUGGCAAGCAGUCCACUGGAAACACUGAGUUUUUUCCAGCCCAGGUAAUUCAGAAGGUUGAAGACACUACUAAUUCAAAAGAUUUACCAGAGUCAAAAGAAGGAUGGUCAACAUUUCCAAAGGAGGAAUCACCACAACUACAGAGAAAGAAAUUGGCAGAUGAAUCAAAACAAUCUGAAAGAAAAUCACCUUUUGAUAUUACGGAAAACCAGUGGAAGAAAGAUUCUAAGCCAAGGUGGUUGUUAGACAAGCAAGUCUUCAAUGAAAAGGUCAUGUUCAGUAAAACACCAGAACAGUGUUCACCUAAGGUGCCAAGGACAAGUAUGUUCAGCAAAUUCCCAAAAUGACCUCCUGUAGAAACACCACCUGCUAAACCCAUAAUUCAAGGGGGGUUAGUGCAAGCAUCCCUAAAACCUCCAAGGUUGUUUGGUUCAGUUUCCGUGCUCCCAAAGUCAUUUAAGAAAACAGAGGAGAAAAACGACUCAUCACUUAUCCCGAAAAAGACCAUACCUACUAUUGUGGUUGAAAAUAAGCCUGUUGGUGAAGAGGCAGAUAAAACAAAGUGUGGUCAAAAAGAAGUUGAGAAAUCUGAAGGAAAAACAACUAGAAGAAACAGAGAAGACCAGUCAGAUGCCACUUAAGAAUACUGUGGUAGCUGCUGGAUCAGAGGUAAUGCUUCAGUAUGUCAUCAAGGGAAAACCUUUUCCCAGAGGAUAGAAGGAAAAUGGAUGGGGCAAAAUACCAUCAAAUUCUUGCAGAAAAUCUGCUGCCCUCUGCCAGAAAGUUGUUAAUGGGAAGAAGGUUUACCUACCAACAUGGCAGUGACCCAAAGCACACAGCAAAACUGACACACAGUGGUUAAAGGAGAAAAAGGUGAAUGUCCUUGUAUGGCCUAGUCAGAGCCCAGACUUAGACCACAAAGAAAAUCUGUAAAAUGACUUGAAGACUGCAGUCCACAAAUGGUUACAUCAAAUUUAACUGAACUUGAGUAAUUCUGCAAAGAAGAGUGGACAAAUAUUGCAAAGUUAAUAGAGACAUAUCCCAACAGACUGAAGGAUAAUUAAAGCAAAAGCCGCUUCAAGAAAAUACUCACACAAGGGGGUGAUCAUUUUUCCAACUCAGUGAUUCUGUUUAUUUAUUUAUUUAUUUUUAUGUAUUAUUUAUGUUGGUGUUAUAUCUUUGACUCGGAUAUUAUAAAU